GACGAACGCUGGCGGCGUGCUUAACACAUGCAAGUCGAACGGAAAGGCCCUGCUUUUGUGGGGUGCUCGAGUGGCGAACGGGUGAGUAACACGUGAGUAACCUGCCCUUGACUUUGGGAUAACUUCAGGAAACUGGGGCUAAUACCGGAUAGGAGCUCCCGCUGCAUGGUGGGGGUUGGAAAGUUUCGGCGGGUGGGGAUGGACUCGCGGCUUAUCAGCUUGUUGGUGGGGUAGUGGCUUACCAAGGCUUUGACGGGUAGCCGGCCUGAGAGGGUGACCGGCCACCUUGGGUCUGCGAUUCGCCCCAGACUCCUACGGGAGGCAGCCGUGGGGAAUAUUGCACAAUGGGCGGAAGCCGGAUACAGCAACGCCGCGUGCGGGAUGACGGCCUUCGGGUUGUCAUCCGCUUGCGCCUGUGACGAAGUGUGAGUGACGGUAAUGUGUACAGUAGCCCCGGCUAGCUACGUG
rnacentral:rRNA from 1 species